GACGAACGCUGGCGGCGUGCUUAACACAUGCAAGUCGAACGCUGAAGCUCAGCUUUUGUUGGGUGGAUGAGUGGCGAACGGGUGAGUAACACGUGAGUAACCUGCCUCCUUCUUUGGGAUAACGCCCGGAAACGGGUGCUAAUACUGGAUAUUCACUGGUCUUCGCAUGGGGGUUGGUGGAAAGGGUUUUUCUGGUGGGGGAUGGGCUCGCGGCCUAUCAGCUUGUUGGUGGGGUGAUGGCCUACCAAGGCUUUGACGGGUAGCCGGCCUGAGAGGGUGACCGGUCACAUUGGGAGUGAGAUACGGCCCAGACUCCGACGGGAGGCAGCAGUGGGGAGUAUUGCACAAUGGGCGCAAGCCUGAUGCAGCGACGCCGCGGGAGGGAUGGAGGCCUUCGGGUUGUGAACCUCUUUCGCUCAUGGUCAAGCCGCAACAAUGGUUGUGGUGAGGGUAGUGGGUAAAGAAGCGCCGGCUAACUACGUG
rnacentral:rRNA from 1 species